CUUGUGCCACGGUGGCCCAAAUGUCAGUCAACCAGACAUGUCUUCUGAGAGGUAAGUUUUUGAAAAAUACUAGACUUUUCUCAAAUGUAUUUCUUUACAGGAAUAAAAAGAAAGCUAAUUUUGCAUGAGCAUGCAGGAAGUCUGCAGACAGACAUUCUACAUAGUCCCUUGGGGACUCAGUAGAAGUGGAAUCAAGACCAACCCAAGCCCAACAAGGCAGCUCCGCUGGUUAAUGCCUCCCAGAUCUGUCAUCUGUGAUAAAGAGCCUCGCUGUAGCUGAGGAGCUGGCCAAGAACCUUUCCCAGUUAGCCAAGUUCGUGAAGAAGUCACAUGUGGUGAAUAUAUUAUCAUCAGAAUGCGGAGCAAUGAAAUGUAAACAGAUAGGAAUCGUCACUAAAGCUCCAACUGCAGCCUCCGGGUGCCAUAGCUUUUGCACCAUCCAUUUGCACCAUCUCUGCAGUAAGUCCUAGCUCAAGCCUUACUCCAAAGUACAAAUUAGCAUAGCAGCUCAGUCAACAAUGCCUCCGAGCUUCUGGAAAGAAAGAUGCUCAGUCACCAUAGACCCAGAAUUAAUGAAAAGUCACAGAAAUAAUAGCUCCAUUCUCUACUUGCUUCUGAACCUCAAAUCAGUGGUUGGCAACAAGGAUGUCUGCAUCAUCUGUAUUGACCUGCUCCCCAGAUUAAUACCGAAGCACUGCAAUUUCUUGAGGAUUAUCCACCUAGGAGGAAAUGAUACGCUGGCCCAUCCAUAGUAGUCAAGAAACAGUCUGAGAUCCAAAAAGUGGCUUAAAAGAGGGAAAAGUUAAUCAAAAUGUCUGUGAAGCUCUGGCUUCAGUCUCUCCAGCGAGGCUUUCUGAAGCACAGCUCUGAUAGAACUAAACCCAAUGAGACACCGCCUACAAGAGGAAUCCAGCGUGUGAACGAAGACUAAAAAGCAAAACAGCAGCGUCUGGAGUGGACAGCUUCUCUCACUCAGAGAACUGUAGCCUCAAAUUCCUGGCAGAGGUGAGACUAGAACUCAGUCUCAUGGUAUUGCCUACAGUUAACAACAUUAGUUGAAUUGUGUGUGUCUUAAUUUCACUUAUGUAAAUGGAAUGAACAGGUAGACAUGGUAGUGCGGGUCUGUCAUUCCGGCACCAGGGAGGCUGAGGCAGGAUAACAAUGUGUUAACAUUCCACCUGAUUUAUACAGUUAGUGUCAGACUAAUCUGAGCCAUAGGCUGAAAACUUGUCUCAAGUCAAUCAACGAAGAGAAGCAUAAAAAUAUCCCAACCAUCCUGAGAUUUUCAGUUUUAUAAGUAAAACAAGUCUAAGUCCAACAUGAGACUGCUAUUCAAACAAACAAACAAACAACAAACGCUGAAGAUGGGCCCAGGAGGGUCCUGCCAUUACUAGCAAAGGGCCGCCAUUACUAGGUCAAGGCCUAGACUCCGAUGUGAUUGGGUUGAGCAGGCAGCAUAGGCCUCAGUUUGCGGAAAAUGAAAAUGCAAGGUGCCUUUCUCAAAGUGAUUUUGAAUUUUAGCGGCUAGAGAGAGCAGAGUAUCAAACCACGAUGAAGGGCUUCUAGUUAUCACACACACACACACACACACACACACACAGAGAGAGAGAGAGAGAGAGAGAGAGAGAGAGAGAGAGGGAGAGAGAGAGAGAGACUCUGCCUUCACACUUGCUGACAACAAAAAUCACAUCGUCCUCCACACUCCCUGUGAGCACAGGAAGGACUACGUGAGGUCUCUGGAGUGUGAUAAGCUUCCCAUAGGAGACUAACCAGGAGAGAGCAUCUAUAUACCGAAUCUUAACUGUGCCUUUGCUUCUCAAAAUGAUAGCCUGCUGAUGCAAGGCUGUGAUUUCCUGAAUAUAUUCCCAUUUCUGUUGCCAGCCUUGUAUUCCCUAGGUUGUCCAAAAAAAAAAAAAAAGUUGUGGAUGUGAUGAUUCUUUUUUUUCUUUUUAUUAUGCUUCAGUGAGCUUUCAAACUUAGCUGGUCAGAAAUAAUGAAUUUAUGCGCGUACACACACACACACACACACACACACACACACACACACACACCUAGCCUACCUUAAUUUUAUCAGUUAAUAAAGAGAGCCAAACUAUUCAGAAUAUUUAAUACAAAGAACAAAAGAGUGGCACCGCCUGAAGAAUGUCAGCAGUGUUUUCAGCUCCGCCGCCCGCUCCGCCCUGUCUUGUUUUGCACUUUAUCUUCCUGGAGCCUUUCCAGGAGACAAAUCUUUCCAUCAGAAUCUUUGUGGGUUGAAGCCCGUGUCCUGUCAGGUUGUGUAUCAAAAUUUCUGGUGAAUUUUUCCUCCUCAAUAUUUCAGACCUAUAAAAAAGAUUUGCAAAGGCAGAACUCUAGAUAUUAUAAUCACUCCAAGCACAGAAAAAAAAAAGUGGUAAAAGUUUUUCUUUUUCCCACUGCUAAAUACAGAAUGUUCCUCUGUUAGGUACCCUUAACACUGACAAAGCAUAUAUUUUUGUUUUAUC
rnacentral:lncRNA from 1 species